rnacentral:rRNA from 1 species
GCCUUGGCGGCAGCCUACACAUGCAGUCGAGCGGUAGCACGGGGAGCUUGCUCCUGGGUGACGAGCGGCGGACGGGUGAGUAAUGUCUGGGGAUCUGCCUGAUGGAGGGGGAUAACUACUGGAAACGGUAGCUAAUACCGCAUAACGUCGCAAGACCAAAGAGGGGGACCUUCGGGCCUCUUGCCAUCAGAUGAACCCAGAUGGGAUUAGCUAGUAGGUGGGGUAAUGGCUCACCUAGGCGACGAUCCCUAGCUGGUCUGAGAGGAUGACCAGCCACACUGGAACUGAGACACGGUCCAGACUCCUACGGGAGGCAGCAGUGGGGAAUAUUGCACAAUGGGCGCAAGCCUGAUGCAGCCAUGCCGCGUGUAUGAAGAAGGCCUUCGGGUUGUAAAGUACUUUCAGCGAGGAGGAAGGCAUUAAGGUUAAUAACCUUAGUGAUUGACGUUACUCGCAGAAGAAGCACCGGCUAACUCCGUGCCAGCAGCCGCGGUAAUACGGAGGGUGCAAGCGUUAAUCGGAAUUACUGGGCGUAAAGCGCACGCAGGCGGUUUGUUAAGUCGGAUGUGAAAUCCCCGGGCUCAACCUGGGAACUGCAUUCGAAACUGGCAAGCUUGAGUCUUGUAGAGGGGGGUAGAAUUCCAGGUGUAGCGGUGAAAUGCGUAGAGAUCUGGAGGAAUACCGGUGGCGAAGGCGGCCCCCUGGACAAAGACUGACGCUCAGGUGCGAAAGCGUGGGGAGCAAACAGGAUUAGAUACCCUGGUAGUCCACGCCGUAAACGAUGUCGACUUGGAGGUUGUGCCCUUGAGGCGUGGCUUCCGGAGCUAACGCGUUAAGUCGACCGCCUGGGGAGUACGGCCGCAAGGUUAAAACUCAAAUGAAUUGACGGGGGCCCGCACAAGCGGUGGAGCAUGUGGUUUAAUUCGAUGCAACGCGAAGAACCUUACCUACUCUUGACAUCCAGAGAACUUUCCAGAGAUGGAUUGGUGCCUUCGGGAACUCUGAGACAGGUGCUGCAUGGCUGUC